UUUUGCAACACCAAAUAGAACUGGUUAUUUUGAAGUGGAAGUUAAUGGUGUUUUAAUACAUUCAAAAAAGAAUGGCGAUGGAUAUGUUGAUACUGCAGCAAAGAUGUCUAAGAUUGAAAAUUCUAUUCAAAGUGCUCUUCAGUGAUCACUUAUAGAAGUUAACAUACAUCAUAUGAAGAAUAUUUCAUGCAGCACCCGUUACAUGUCGUAUGAAAACAAAUGGAUUAAAAGUACUCCGCAUCGGAUAUGAGUCAUUUGUUUGAUAAAAUUGACUAGACGUUUGUAUGCAUGAGAUUUUCAAAUAAUGUUGUGUUUUUAAA
rnacentral:lncRNA from 1 species